CAUGUUCUGUUUAAACCAAGCAGCUCUGCUCUCUGUUCAACUCUUACUCAUUGUCCAUGUUCAUGCAGGGACAGUUCCAGUUGAUCACAGGAAUACACUGGUGUCCAGAGGAGACUCAGUCAUGCUCACCUGCAACAUAUCGAUAAAUAAUGGAACACAAACCAACUGGAACAAAGACAGAUUUUAUUUACUUUAUUCAUUCACAUAUAAUCUGAAUUCUUCCAAUUUUACCUCUGACAGAUUCAGAAUAGACGUUAAUUUAACCACAACGCUGAAUAUAUUUAAUGUUCAGCAUGAAGACGCUGGACUUUAUACAUGUACUGUAACUGAUAUAGAUGGUGUAAAGACCAUAAGGUGGAAUUUAACAGUUUCUGAGAGUUUCAAAGGAAUUGGACAAUUAUGGUAUGUUCUCUACAUACUGACACCUAUCACUGGAAUUAUUCUGUGUGGCUUCAUAUUAGCUGUUUACAUCUGCAGGUGGAUCGUUCUCAAAAACAAGGUGACAUGGAUCAUAGGUCCAACAGGAGGAGUCAGUACAUGGAGAGAUUCAAUUCAAUAUAUGAUUUCAACUAAAGUGAAAAAUCACUGACACACAAGCUCCGGGUGGCUGAGACUCAGGACACCGGCUGCCGUUGCAGAGUAGUGCCUUUCAUGGCAGCUCUGCCACCGUUGGUCUGUAUGUGAAAGUUGAAUGAGAAGCAACAUUCAAAGGUCUUUGGCUACAGAUAAGGUAGAAAAUGUUAUAUGAAUGCACACGUUUCCAUUUUAAACCAGAUGCACGAAGGGAAGAUCAGCAGAGGGACGACAACAGCUCCAGUGGCCUCAUCAGCAAUUAACACAAUAAAACCUUCACUAACUUUGUGGACAUGUUUUUCUAUUCAUAUUGUUUUGUAUUAAUUCACUGUGUGAUUUAUGUUGUAGAUAUGUUAGUAUGUUUUACUGAUUGUGUGUUUUGUUGAAUGCUGUUCUGAUGGCAUCGAGGUCAUAAUUAGGGUUUGUUCUGAUACAAAAUAAAAGUAACUUCAAACUGGUGUUUUGC
rnacentral:lncRNA from 1 species